UACGUAGGAAGCAAGCGUUAUCCGGAUUUACUGGGUUUAAAGGGUGCGCAGGCGGCCUUAUAAGUCAGGGGUGAAAGAUUUCAGCUUAACUGGAAAAUUGCCUUUGAUACUGUUUGGCUUGAGUUCGGUUGAGGUAGGCGGAACGUGUCAUGUAGCGGUGAAAUGCAUAGAUAUGACACAGAACACCAAUUGCGAAGGCAGCUUACUAAACCGUUACUGACGCUCAUGCACGAAAGCGUGGGGAGCAAACAGG
rnacentral:rRNA from 1 species